rnacentral:rRNA from 1 species
UCGGGAAUAUUGCGCAAUGGAGGAAACUCUGACGCAGUGACGCCGCGUGCAGGAAGAAGGUUUUCGGAUUGUAAACUGCUUUAGACAGGGAAGAUACAAGACAGUACCUGUAGAAUAAGCUCCGGCUAACUACGUGCCAGCAGCCGCGGUAAUACGUAGGGAGCAAGCGUUAUCCGGAUUUAUUGGGUGUAAAGGGUGCGUAGACGGGAAAACAAGUUGGUUGUGAAAUCCCUCGGCUUAAACUGAGGAACUGCAACCAAAACUAUUUUUCUUGAGUGCUGGAGAGGAAAGUGGAAUUCCUAGUGUAGCGGUGAAAUGCUUAGAUAUUAGGAGGAACACCAGUGGCGAAGGCGGCUUACUGGACGGUAACUGACGUUGAGGCUCGAAAGCGUGGGGAGCAAACAGGAUUAGAUA